AAGUUUUCUCGCCAUUGCCUGUUAUUUCUGUUACAAACUUCGUUUUGUUCAGCCAAACAUUGGGGUGUUGUGUGUACUCGUGCGUGUGCAUCUGGAGCGGGGCCUCCUCAUGGUUUCGCUCUUCCAUCAACCUAUUAUUGGUUCGGCCUGUUUUUGCUAGUUGUAAAUCAUUGGAAAAAGUUGUUAAUCCUCGCACACCGGGGGUUUAAAUUUCGUACUGGAUAAGGCUGCAGGGGUACCAAUCUCUUCGUAUAUACUAGGCCACGAGUCCGACGAAUUACUAGUUCAGUAAAAU
rnacentral:lncRNA from 1 species